UUCAUUCUCAGCACCGACAUUACAAACCCUAGAAGAUCAUCCUCCUCGCCAACUUCGCAGCAAACCGCGACAAACGUCACCGACGACGGCGAAAAAACUCCACCUCAACAGCAAAUUGGCGACGAACACAUCUACUCAUUGCCCGUUCGAGGGAAAAAUCGUGGGAAAUUCCAUAACCAUCACCAAAUCGACAAAACCCUAAAUCGCUCUCCACCUUUUACGCCUCAACCAUUAAAAUCGGAGAAACAAAAGCCGUUUAUGGAGUUAUUUUCCUCCACUUCCGCGAACUUCAGCGCCUCAAACACAGAAUCAGCGACGAAACCUAAAUCAUCCGAAUCUCACUGCUUGACCAGAAUCGGAGAAAUCGAAGCCGUGGAAGCCGUCUACAGCGUUAUUUUCCUCCACUGCUGCUAACCCUGAACCCUAACUUAACAGCCUCAAACACUGAUUCAGCGACGUAAGCACAAAUCCUAAGUAUCUAAUCGCCUGCACCGAUGAACACGGACAAGCAGAAGACGCAAAGGGAGACGAAAUCCUAUCCAUCACCAGAAAAAGGCGAUAAAAUGGCAAGUUUGUUGAACAAAAUUGAAAACAAAAGGAAGAAGCAUUUACAAAAAUAUAGCAGAUUGUGAAGAAGUCAGAAAACAUACCACGCGAUCAUGGAAGACAGCUUCCAAGGUCUUAUCAUUCUUAUCUCCAUAAUUGUUCUCAUAAAGCCGGACACAACGGACCUUGAUGACAGAGGUAGGCACUUUAGGCAGAAGAUUAUUAACCAAGUAAUCAUCUUAAAAAAUUUCAAAAAUAAUGGAAGCCAAGGUACACAUAUUGCAUGGAAAACUAGAAUAAGAGGGAGAAAAAGAAAAACUCAAACGCAGGAGCAGUGCAAGGUAUCAAGAAUAACACAAAUGCAGAUAUUCAAGCUGCCUCUCUUACUCUCCAGUCAGCAGAUAAAGGAGAGAGAAGAAGAUAGACAACCGCCUCUAACUCCUCACUCUACCAUCAUUACUCAAAAAGCAUCAGGGUGAUAGUAGGCGUGGCUUCCCUACAACCUACUCUACUGCAUCAGCAACAUAUCAACAUGUGGACAUAAAUAAAUCAAGAGAAUGCAUUGGAAACUGAGGAGUGAAUCAGACAGCUAUGGAAGAAUGGAAUAAUUAUA